AUGUGAAAGCACGGUCCACGCGGACUUACCAUGUCACAUGUAUACCCCAACAAAAUGUGCCCUGAAGGCUUUCACAGAGGGCCUGAGACACGAGCUGAGACAACAGAAAACGAAAAUACGGACAACGGUUAUUAGUCCUGCAUUGGUGGACACUCCGCAAUCUAGAGACGACAUGGAUGACAGCUUCUUCUGUCCGGAAACUUGUCUUCAACCAGACGACGUCGCUGCCGCCGUGACCUUUGCCCUCGGCGCCCCGCCAUGUGUUAACGUAAGAUAUUUAUAUCAUUAAGCAUUGCAUUCAAUACCUUUUAGUUAACCCCGUUUAUCUGGUUACAAUAAGAGUCAGACAAAGUACACAGUACUUUGAAAGAAUAGUAUGAUCUUAUGUUUUUCAUUGCCAUGUAUCUUCUCAUUUGCGUGUUAGGUAUUCCGAACAAAGGUUCAAGGUGCCAUAAAAUUAUGUAUUAUUGGAUGAUGAAAUUACUAUUUGCUCUCUCAAAGAUGAAUCUGUUGUUGCUUGCUCCCAUCUAUCAGGUGCUUCAAUGGAGAAACAGUUUAUUUCAUUGUAACAACUUUAUUUUCCAGGUUCGCCCUAUUUG